rnacentral:rRNA from 1 species
GGAGUCUGGACCGUUCUCAGUUCCAAUGUGGCCGUUCAACCUCUCAGUCCGGCUACCGAUCGUCGCUUUGGUGGGCCGUUACCCCGCCAACUGGCUAAUCGGACGCGAGCUCAUCUUUGAUCGCCGGAGCUUUGGUGCCGUGGUCAUGCGUCCUCGGCACUUUAUGCGGUAUUAGCACAAGUUUCCCUGCGUUAUCCCCCAAUCAAAGGCAGAUUGCUCACGUGUUACUCACCCGUCCGCCACUAACUUUACAAAAACCGAAGUUUCUCGUAUCGUCCGUUCGACUUGAAUGUGUUAUGCACGCCGCCAGCGUUUAUC